rnacentral:rRNA from 1 species
AGAAUCAACGCUGGCGGCGUGCCUAACACAUGCAAGUCGAACGAGAAAGUGGGAGCAAUCCCAUGAGUAAAGUGGCGCACGGGUGAGUAACACGUGACUAACCUACCCUUGAGUGGGGGAUAACCUAGGGAAACCUGGGCUAAUACCGCAUAAUACCUACGGGUCAAAGGAGCAAUUCGCUUUAGGAGGGGGUCGCGGCAGAUUAGUUAGUUGGCGGGGUAAUGGCCCACCAAGACAGUGAUCUGUAUCCGGCCUGAGAGGGCGCACGGACACACUGGAACUGAAACACGGUCCAGACUCCUACGGGAGGCAGCAGUGGGGAAUUUUGCGCAAUGGGGGAAACCCUGACGCAGCAACGCCGCGUGGAGGAUGAAGCCCCUUGGGGCGUAAACUCCUUUCGAUCGGGAAGAUAAUGACGGUACCGGAAGAAGAAGCCCGGCUAACUUCGCGCCAGCAGCCGC